CAGUCGCCGCGGUAAAACGUAGGGUGCAAGCGUUAAUCGGAAUUACUGGGCGUAAAGCGUGCGCAGGCGGUUUGUUAAGACAGAUGUGAAAUCCCCGGGCUCAACCUGGGAACUGCAUUUGUGACUGGCAAGCUAGAGUAUGGCAGAGGGGGGUGGAAUUCCGCGUGUAGCAGUGAAAUGCGUAGAUAUGCGGAGGAACACCGAUGGCGAAGGCAGCCCCCUGGGCCAAUACUGACGCUCAUGCACGAAAGCGUGGGGAGCAAACAGGAUUAGAUACCCGAGUAGUCCCUGUCUCUUAACA
rnacentral:rRNA from 1 species